ACAGCAGGAGUGGUGUUCGCUGGUCGGCGUCUCAUGCCGCAAGGCUCGGGCGCCGACGGGAGGAAAGUCCGGGCUCCGCAGGGCAAGGGUGCAGGCCAACGGCCUGUCGGGGUGACUCGAAGGAAAGUGCCACAGAGAACAGACCGCCCGCGGGGCACCUUCGGGUGUUCCGCGAGCAAGGGUGAAACGGUGCGGUAAGAGCGCACCGCGCCCCUGGAGACAGGGGCGGCACGGCAAACCCCACCCGGAGCAAGGCGGGGGCGGCCGGGGAGACCCGGCGAGCGCGGCCCGCGCGCCCCCAAAGCUGCUCGAGCGCGUCGGCAACGGCGCGCCUGGAGGAAUGACCACCGCGCGCGCCGGGCGACCGACGCGCGUACAGAACCCGGCUUACGGCCUGUCUGGGACG
rnacentral:RNase_P_RNA from 2 species